ensembl:lncRNA
UUCAGAUUCUCUGUCAUGAUUAGACGUCACUUUCUCCCUGACAGACCUGUUACACUUCAGCAACUUCAGCACCCCCACCCACACUCUGGUUGGUUGGCUGGCUGGCUGCGACUAGGGGACACAGCCAAUGGUGUGCCACAACAUGAAGACGCUGCAAUUUGAUUGGAGGAGAAGAGGCCGGCGACCGUAGAAGCAGAAGAGGAAGAGGAGAGCCAGUCGAGGAGGGUGUGUGUGUGUGUGUGUGUGUGUGUGUGUGUGUGUGGUAGGUGGUCACCUCAAGGUCACUGCCUUGCUGAAGUAAUUUUUUAUGGAUCCAACCAGAUUACUUGUCCUGUCUUCCUACACUAAAUUAUACUUUACCUACUGUGUCAUCCACUCACACUGCCACUUAGCAGACGCAUGUAUUCAAAGCUACUCGGUACAGUGAGCGCAUCCAUUUUUAGUUGGUGGUCACUACGGGGAUUGAACCCUCUCCUAUGGAACCAGUGAACUAUUGAAGAGGUGGAGCUAAGAGUAGGUGAAGAUAGACUCUUGAAGAAUUCUAAUGAUCCUGAGAAAUCCUUAUUAAGGAGUUGAGAGCGUUAACCUGGUAGCGUACUGAGUGAGUGAGAAGAGGGAGGGCCUCCCAGAGAGAGAGAGAGGUGAGAAGAGGGAGGGCCUCCCAGAGAGAGAGAGAGGUGAGAAGAGGGAGGGCCUCCCAGAGAGAGAGAGAGGUGAGAAGAGGGAGGGCCUCCCAGAGAGAGAGAGAGGUGAGAAGAGGGAGGGCCUCCCAGAGAGAGAGGCAGAGAGAGAGAGAGAGGCAGAGAGAGAGAGAGG